UUCUUCUGCGAGCAAGCCUUUACUGUGUUACAGCUCUUCUCAGUGUUACAGCUCUUCUCAGUGUUACAGCUCUUCUCAGUGUUACAGCUCUUCUCAGUGUUACAGCUCUUCUCAGUGUUACAGCUCUUCUGAACACGGACCCCGAGCAGCAAAAUCGCUCGGCUUAUAUAGACAGCAGUAUGCUAAUUAUCUCUCAGGGAUUGGUGGGGCUUGGAUCACCCCACUACUUGUCCUCCAGGGAUUGGCGGAGAAUGAAUCACCUCAUUAGCAUAUUAACGGUCAACUAACACCUGGUGAAUAAACCGCACAUGUGCAGUACCGCUGUUCACCACUAGAGGGAGCCCUAGCAAGGGGACAAGCCUGCACAUGCACAGUAAGUCGUUUAUAUCCAGACAAGGCUGGAUGUCGGCGCCAUCUUUGUUUCGCCGCGCCGCUCUCUACAUCUCCCCCUUUUUUGUUUAAUAAAAUGACUGGUCUAGAUCUGGGUGUCACGUCAAUCUUGUCAUUGCUCCUGUCUUAGGUCGUUCUCAUCCAAACUCGGCCUUACCCGUCAUAGAGUUACCCUAUCACCACCGGGCCCCGUGUCUUAGGUUGGUCCGAGUUCGAGGAAAGUUGCCCGUCCCUGGAUACAAUGACUCCACAUGACUGUGACAAAAAUGAUCUAGGGCGAACUCUUGAUCUUUCAAAGAGGCCAGCCAUAUGUUGGGAGAAGUACCCUUUUUAAUGGUGGUCAUAGCCUGGUAAACAACCACUUUGUGUCUGGCAUGUUCUCUUUUUAAACAGCCAAUAAGCCAGAGACCUACUCCGCAACCCAGGAGGACAAUAGCUCCCCAGGACAAACAUGCCCGCCCACUCCUUAAAAAGGGAGAAAGCAUUGGUAACCCAUGAGGUAAAGUCUUCAACUGUGAUAGGGUCCAGCGUAGUGCUGUUGAGGACAGCAAUCUGCAUCAGCAAUUGUCUUGAUAGUUGCUCUGCUUUCAUGGACCAGUUUCCUUUCAGAUAAUUCGAGAUUUCUUUGCUCUGUUGAAAAUUCUGAGAAAAGUUAGCUCGCAAAAGAAUAAUGCAUAAACCUCGAAGGGAGGAAACACAAGACAGCUGUGUCAUAUGAUACAGUGCUUCAAUUGUUCUUGAACUAAAUCUAUCCUUUGAUUGGCUAAUAGAAGGCCAGAUGCCAAAUGGGUAUUAAAUUCUUCUUGUAUCUCUAACGCCACUGCAGUUCUGAUUGACAGUCUCAGCCAUCUGUAUUUGAUUGGUCAUAGCGAUUUCAGCUGUGGUAGCUGCAGCAGCAGACAGCACAAUGGCUGAAAUUAUGGCUGCCGUAAUUCCAAAAUCUCUUUUGGCUCUCAGCAAAUUAAGAAUAGGAAAGCUAUCUGGGUUUGCCUCCACUGGGAUUGGCACAAAGGAGGAAAUCUUAACCAUCACUGCGGUGUCAUUGGUGCCAUCCCAGCAUUCAGCUAAAUAGCAGACUACAUCAGAGCUAUUACAAUUUAAAGCACCACUGCUUACAUUAGUGCUUAUCAGAAAAAAGGUGAUCUAGCACAUACUGAAGUACUAGUGGCAGUAUUAUUUACCAAGAGGUUAUUAUAUUGAAUAUUGAUCAACCUGGUAUCACCUUUUUCUGGUAGCUGAAACAUUAUACAGCACGAAGUUCUCUCCCAUCAACCUAGCAAAGGGGGUCAGGGAUGUAUAUAACCCUUGCUCAUUGGACAGCACCCAUUGAAACCAAGGCCAGAGAUUAUGCUUGUCAAUCUUAUUCUCAAAACAGUAGAAUUGCUAUGAACUGGCAUGGGUACUGGCCAGGAUCUGGCAAUAGCCCACAGGGUGAGCGAAUUAACCUGUAUUACCAUUCCCAGUAGUAAUAGUAGGGUUUGUAGUCUCAUCUUCAGGAAGAGCAGAAGGCAAUUUUCGAGUCAAACGCUCAGGUACCCAAAUUGGAUUUUCUUGAUUCUGCGGAAAAACACAAAUCGCUCCCCUGGAUCGUAUUAGAAUAGGAUCCGGGCCUUUCCAUUCUCCAGUGAGUACAUCCUUCCACUUCACCUGAUCCUUGGGUGGAAUAGGCCACUGCCCAUGGCGUUCUGCCGCCGAAUAGUCAUGGGCGUCUAAAUUUAAGAAAUUUAAAGUAAGAAGUGCAGUGGAGAUGGCAACCUUGGGGGUUGGCGGCACCUCACCAAUUCCCCCUUUUUGUUUAUUUAAAUAAGCCUUUAAUGUGCGAUGGGCACGUUCAAUGAUUCCUUGGCCUUGAGGAUUAUAAGGAAGUCCUGUCAGGUGUGCAACACCCAUCUGAUUGCAGAAAUGUUUAAACUUUUCUGAAGUAUAAGCAGGGCCAUUGUCGGUCUUGAGCAGCCUAGGAAGACCCCAAGCACUCCAAGCCUCAAGACAGUGGGCAAUGACAUGAGAGGCCUUUUCCCCAGACAAGGGAGAAGCAACUAUGACCCCGGAGCAUGUAUCGAUGGAAACAUGCACAUACUUUAAUUUUCCAAAGGCGGGGACAUGGGUAACAUCCAUCUGCCAAACCUGCAGGGGUCGAAGGCCACAGGGAUUAAUGCCCACAUGUGGGGUGGUAAUAAAAGCACUGCAAUUACCGCAGCGAAGCACUAUUUUUCUGGCCUCUGCUCUAGAUAUAGGAAAACGUCUGCGUAAGGUCUCAGCAGUAACAUGAAAUAAGGAAUGGAACUGGGUGGCAGCUUCCACAGGAGUCAGCACAGCAAACAUAGUGGCUCUAGUAGCCAAAUCGGCCAGGUUAUUCCC
rnacentral:lncRNA from 1 species